rnacentral:misc_RNA from 1 species
UCCGAUUUGUCACCGGCAGUUUGUUCCAAGUUCCCGGCAUGACCCGCUGGUAACAGAACAUGGGGGUUGCGCUCGUUGCGGGACUUAACCCAACAUUUCACAACACGAGCUGACGACAGCCAUGCACCACCUGUGCACCACCCUCGAAGGCGAGUGGCUUUCACCACCGUGCAGGUGCAUGUCAAGCCCUGGUAAGGUCCUUCGCGUUGCAUCGAAUUAAGCCACAUGCUCCGCCGCUUGUGCGGGCCCCCGUCAAUUCCUUUGAGUUUUAGCCUUGCGGCCGUACUCCCCAGGCGGAGUGCUUAAUGCGUUAGCUGCGGCACGGAGAGGGUUGAAGACCUCCCCACACCUAGCACUCAACGUUUACGGCUGGGACUAC